rnacentral:rRNA from 1 species
GACGAACGCUGGCGGCGUGCUUAACACAUUCAAGUCGAACGGAAAGGCCCUGCUUUUGUGGGGUGCUCGAGUGGCGAACGGGUGAGUAACACGUGAGUAACCUGCCCUUGACUUUGGGAUAACUUCAGGAAACUGGGGCUAAUACCGGAUAUUAGCUCCUGCUGCAUGGUGGGGGUUGGAAAGUUUCGGCGGUUGGGGAUGGACUCGCGGCUUAUCAGCUUGUUGGUGGGGUAGUGGCUUACCAAGGCUUUGACGGGUAGCCGGCCUGAGAGGGUGACCGGCCAAAUUGGGACUGAGAUACGGCCCAGACUCCUACGGGAGGCAGCAGUGGGGAAUAUUGCACAAUGGGCGGAAGCCUGAUGCAGCAAAGCCGCGUGCGGGAUGACGGCCUUCGGGUUGUAAACCGAUUUCGCCUGUGACGAAGCGUGAGUGACGGUAAUGGGUAAAGAAGCACCGGAUAACUACGUG